GCUCCUGUCAUUGCUCAUCUUUUGCAAACACUGAAAACUCAAAGCAAAAGAAACCAUGAGGCUGUCCUUUCCUGUCCUGCUGGUCACUCUGGCCUUUUGCUGCUACGAGGCCAAUGCAAAAAUGUGUCCAUCCCUUACUAGUACAGUGAGAAGCUUCCUUUUGGAUUCUGUACCCACCUACGAGGGCAUUCUUCAGUUUUUUAAUCCACCUCCAAAAGCUGCUCAGGACGUGGUGAGACUGAAGGCAGAAGUAACUAACAGGAUAUCCUAUUUUCACCGAGAGAAAUAUCUAAGUUUUGUGACGAAAUUAGUGUCCACAUGUGCCUCCUAGGUUGAAAAAGAAUCUUACACACAUUGAUCUCUGACGUUCCAUGUGACAUGAUCUUCCCAGAAAAUGUAAAGGUUUCAACAUCUUGCUUCAAUAAAUCACUCACCCUGCA